rnacentral:rRNA from 1 species
AGCAGUCGCCGCGGGAAUACGUAGGGCGCAAGCGUUGUCCGGAUUUAUUGGGCGUAAAGAGCUCGUAGGCGGCCUGUCGCGUCCGCUGUGAAAUCCUGGGGCUUAACCCCGGGCGUGCAGUGGAUACGGGCUGGCUAGAGGCAGGCAGGGGAGAACGGAAUUCCCGGUGUAGCGGUGAAAUGCGCAGAUAUCGGGAGGAACACCGGUGGCGAAGGCGGUUCUCUGGGCCUGUUCUGACGCUGAGGAGCGAAAGCGUGGGGAGCAAACAGGAUUAGAUACCCCCGUAGUCCCUGUCUCUUAUAC